rfam:Anaerosporobacter mobilis DSM 15930 genome assembly, contig: EJ17DRAFT_scaffold00016.16
UAGCGUAGUAUCUUAGUACUUCUUAGUGUGUGUUCAAUAUCCUAGGAAGGCGAGGCAUGGACGCCGAGCCAGCCUUCGCUGAGGCAGGAUGCCGAAUCGAAGGCGGGUCCGUAUUCAUUGAUGAAUGUGGUGAACACAUAGAAGUACUUAGAUGCGUAGCGU